GCCAUGCGUGAUUCGGGCAGGGUUCGAACCUGCAGCAGGUCGAGUCGAGCGACAGCGAGACAACGUUGCCAGCGGCAACGGCCCGCAGGGCGAGGCGCAGCCGAGUCAUCCUGCACGACCCACCA
rnacentral:sRNA from 1 species